rnacentral:rRNA from 1 species
CAGUCGCCGCGGUAAUACGGAGGGGGCUAGCGUUGUUCGGAAUUACUGGGCGUAAAGCGCACGUAGGCGGCUUGGUAAGUUAGAGGUGAAAGCCCGGAGCUCAACUCCGGAAUUGCCUUUAAGACUGCCGAGCUAGUAGGUGAGAGAGGUAAGUGGAAUUCCGAGUGUAGAGGUGAAAUUCGUAGAUAUUCGGAAGAACACCAGUGGCGAAGGCGGCUUACUGGCUCAUUCUAGACGCUGAGGUGCGAAAGCGUGGGGAGCAAACAGGAUUAGAUACCCGCGUAGUCCCUGUCUCUUAUAC